UAAUUCAUAUACGGCUUCGAUAUUGCCCAAGUAUGGAUGCUGCUGUUAGGUUAGGGGGCCCGAGAGAGAGAGAGAAAGAGAGUAGGCGUAAGGUGUAAGACGACUAAAUCUGGAAAGUUCAGGCUUUACGUUCAAAAUGCCAUCAAGGAGACUUCCGUUCUAGUUAUAGCUAACAGGCCAGGUUUCAAAAGCAAACCAACUCUGGCCUGCUGGAUCCUGUGUUCCACAGAAGUUAACAGACGUUGGCACACAGGGGCAUUUUGUAGCCAAAAGGUGGGAGGUAGUCAUAUCCACGUGAGAGCAUAAGAAGAUCAUGCGCAUGUCAUCCAGUAUCCUGUUCUCACAAUGCCAACCAGAUGCCCAGAAGAACCAAGUGCCCAGCAGAAGCCCGCAUAAAUAAAUAAAAAUUGCAGCUCACAACAACAUUAAUUACUGAUAUUGGCAAGAGAGAAGUGAAACUCCAUCAAAUCCCCUCCCUGUGAGGAUUUCAACUGCCAUUGAGGCAAGAACUGUGUGUCAGGAGAUGCCCUGUCCUCCUGGUCUGGAGAUUAUCACCAGCUCUGCUUCUGGAUUUGGUCUUGAGGCCGGAAGAGUGCUUCAGGAGAGAAACUGCUCUUUCUCAAGGGCAAGACAACCAGAACCGCCAUUGCCAUGGGUGUAUUGGACUUGAGCUUGCUUUUCCCUCCCUCCCAUUCCUUUUUCCUUGUGUGCCGUGCCUUUUUAGAUUUCAAGCCUGGGGGCGGAGACCAUCUUAGAACGAAUUGUUGUAAACUGCUCUGAGACCCUUUUUUGGCUCAGGGUUGGGGUUAAAUAAAUAAAUAAAUAAAACCUCAGACAGUUGUGCCUUUAGGUUAUGACUUGGGGGCAGAAGUCCAAGAGAACAAGCAAAUGGGGACCCAGACACAGCAGGACUAGCUUGUCACUUUUUGAAGUAUGUGAUUAUAAUACACAUUACCGUCUUUAAAAAAUAAAGGGGGGCGUGGGAGAAUAAGAUCUUUUAAGUUUAGAAGCUCAAACUGUCUUAACUCCACUACUAAAUGACAAGUAGGGCCUGUAAUGGUUAGCGUGUUGGACUAUGACC